AUUGAACGCUGGCGGCAUGCUUUACACAUGCAAGUCGAACGGUAACAGGGAGCUUGCUCCGCUGACGAGUGGCGAACGGGUGAGUAAUGCAUCGGAACGUACCCAGUCGUGGGGGAUAACGUAGCGAAAGUUACGCUAAUACCGCAUAUGUCCUGAGGGAGAAAGCGGGGGACCGUAAGGCCUCGCGCGAUUGGAGCGGCCGAUGUCGGAUUAGCUAGUUGGUAGGGUAAAGGCCUACCAAGGCGACGAUCCGUAGCGGGUCUGAGAGGAUGAUCCGCCACACUGGGACUGAGACACGGCCCAGACUCCUACGGGAGGCAGCAGUGGGGAAUUUUGGACAAUGGGCGAAAGCCUGAUCCAGCCAUGCCGCGUGAGUGAAGAAGG
rnacentral:rRNA from 1 species